AAUCCACAUAAAACCUAACGGACUCACAUUGCGUAUAUAAUAUACGUAUACCGAAUUCGAUAAUUACUAGUCGUCGUUUUACGGGGUGAUUUAAGAGGGACCGCGCGGGAAAGGGUAUUGCAGAAAGUUGUUGGCCACUGAUACGGUUCAUUUACCCCGAGUACGGGUUUUUAAUUUUUUUCCCCCUAUUUUAUCGCCCGAUACCCAAACAUACACACACACACCAGCUAUAUACUAUCCGUGACGUAUGCGUUACCACCCACCCUUGUACUGUAAUAAGGGAUUCCGCGUGACAAAAGUUUAAAAAUAUAAAAACAAAUACGGUAUUGCGCUCGUAUACAUUGGGUGGAACACGUAAAAACCAUGGGUAGUACCAAUAUUGUAGGUAGAAAGUUGGAAGGUAGGUCACAUAAAGUUAUUUAAU